rnacentral:rRNA from 1 species
UACGUAGGGUGCAAGCGUUAAUCGGAAUUACUGGGCGUAAAGGGUGCGUAGGCGGGUUUUUAAGUCAGGGGUGAAAUCCUGGAGCUCAACUCCAGAACUGCCUUUGAUACUGAAGAUCUUGAGUCCGGGAGAGGUGAGUGGAACUGCGAGUGUAGAGGUGAAAUUCGUAGAUAUUCGCAAGAACACCAGUGGCGAAGGCGGCUCACUGGCCCGGUACUGACGCUGAGGCACGAAAGCGUGGGGAGCAAACAGG